rnacentral:rRNA from 1 species
AGAGUUUGAUCCUGGCUCAGAACGAACGCUGGCGGCAUGCCUAAUACAUGCAAGUCGAACGCCUCGAGCGAUCGAGGAGUGGCGCACGGGUGAGUAACGCGUGGGAACCUGCCCUGGAGUUUGGGAUAACCCGGCGAAAGCCGGGCUAAUACCGGAUACGCCCUAAGGGGGAAAGAUUUAUCGCUCUAGGAGGGGCCCGC